CCUUUGUACACACCGCCCGUCGCUACUACCGAUUGAAUGGCUUAGUGAGGUCUCCGGAUUGGCGGUGGGGAGCCGGCAACGGCACCCUAUUGCUGAGAAGCUGAUCAAACUUGGUCAUUUAGAGG
rnacentral:rRNA from 1 species